rnacentral:rRNA from 1 species
GAUGAACGCUGGCGGCGUGCUUAACACAUGCAAGUCGAACGGAAAGGCGCUGCUCUUGCGGGGUGCACGAGUGGCGAACGCGUGAGUAACACGUGAGUAACCUGCCCCUGAAUUUCGGAUAAAACCAGGGAACUGCGGCUCAUACCGGGUAGAAGCUCCUGCUCCAUGGUGUGGGUUGGAAAGUUUCGGCCGUUGGGGAUUGACUCGCGGCUUAUCAGCUAGUUGGUCGGGUAUGGGCUGACCAAGGUUUUGACUGCUAGCCGGCCUGGGAGGGUGGCCAGCGACAUGGGGCCUGAGAUACGGCCCAGACUCCAACGGGAGGCAGUAGUGGGGAGUAUUGCAGAAUGGGCGGAAGUGUGAUACAGAAGUGUCGCGAUCGGAAUAACGGCCUUCGGGGUGGAAACCGCUUUCGCCUGUGACGAAGCGGGAGUGACGGUAAUUGGUAAAAAAGCACCGGCUAACUACGUG